GGAGUAAAGUCCGGUCGUUAACCGGUUGCUGGCAAACCACACUCCUCCGUCGAGACACCAACAAUCCUCGACGAAAUCACAAAUCAACCCUUCUUCUCCGACGAGCAACACUCCCCAAACCCCCUGUUACAUUUUAACUGUCGCUCUACCUCCAUUUACCUCCAAUAAACAGCCGGCCACCACCGAAGGGUGGUGGCGUACGGCGGCGAGAUGAAACAGAUCAGAGAGACGGGGAGAAAGACGGGGAGAGAGAGAGAGAGAGAGAGAGGAAACCGAGAGAAAAUCAAAGAGAAGGACUGACAGGGCAGAAUUUCAGGCGACAAGAGUGACCAGUUGAUCUCCGGCGGUGGUGCUACGUUUUUCCGACAAGUUUUCUGGACGAUGAUGAGUUGAUAUUGGCGAUGUUGUUGAUGAAGGCUUCAGUGUUACGGCGGCGGUGGCGGCACGGUUAUUCCGACCGACGAAGCAAUACGACUCGGGUCAACACACGAGUAGUUCGGUUCAGUUAAGUCGGGUCCGGGUAAGAUGUUCGCAGAUUGUUUUAUUUGUGGUUAGUUAGGGUUCACAGUGGCUCGACUCAGUUCUCGGUUCAGAAUUGGUUCAACUCGGUUUGACUCGGCCAGACUUAGUCAACUCAAGCAACACGAGUCAAAAGCAGUCAAUACGGGUCAACUCAGUGGUUCGAGCCAACUUAGUUGAACGAGUCAGUCAACUUAGCGGGUCGACUCAGUCAACAGACGGUCAACGCAGUCAACAACAGUCAACAAAGAUCCUAUAAAGUUUUAAUGACGCGAGAUUUAGUUUAGAUCGAUAUAGUUUUGUUUAGACUUUUAGACUACGCGAAUCGAGCUCGACCGAUACCUCUAGUGUUUAUCUAUAUUUUAUUUUGUCGAAAAUUUAUUAUAUAUUGAUUGAAUCAAUUGAAAUAUUGUU
rnacentral:lncRNA from 1 species